GACGAACGCUGGCGGCGUGCCUAAUACAUGCAAGUAGAACGCAGUUGAGAACGGGUGAGUAACGCGUAGGUAACCUGCCUCAUAGCGGGGUAUAGAUAAUGGAAACGAUAGCUAAUACCGCAUACUGUGAGAUGGACCUGCGGUGUAUUAGCUAGUUGAUGAGGUAAAGGGUCACCAAGGCGACGAUACAUAGACGAGCGGAGAGGGUGAGCGGCUCCACUGGGGACGAGCUACGGCCCAGACUCCUACGGGAGGCAGCGGUAGGGAAGCUGCGGCAAGGGAAGUAAGUCUGACCCAGCAAAUCCGCGUGAGUGAAGAGUGUUUUCGGAUCGUAAAGCUCUGUUGUUUGAGAAGCGGUAACUAACCAGAAAGGGACGGCUAACUACGUGCCAGCCGCCGCGGUAAUUC
rnacentral:rRNA from 1 species